rnacentral:tRNA from 1 species
ACAUUGGUGGUUCAGUGGUAGAAUCCUAACCUUCCAUGUGGGAGACCGGGGAUCUAUAUCCAGCCAAUGUA